CAUUGCCAGCUGGGAUCUUGGCACAGCUGGGCCUGUUUAGGGUGUGCUCAUACAGAGGAAAGAGAAGAAAGGCCCCAGUCUUCUUCACAUCUCUCCCAUCACUAGUACCAGAGCUCUAUUGGAGCUUCGUGCAGAAUUACAUGACGUAGUGUUUGCCUGUGCUGAAGUUGUGUUGGCUACACCAGUAGGAACUCUCUGAUGAGUUACUCUGUUGGAUGCCGAAGCUUGCAGAUCAGGAUCUGAGUCAGAAACCAAAGUAAGAAGGAUACUAAGAACUUCUACUCUACAUGCACUAUUUUGGCACUUGAUGCUGAUCACAGUUCAAUCAGAUUGAAUAAAAGUCCCUUCUUGUCUCAGGUCUUUCUGGGAGCUUGAGUGCUGGGAAGCUGCAAAGCUGGCUCUUCUUAUCAGCAGUUAAAGAAAUGCAUAAAGACCCAACAGACAAACUGAAGUCAUAAUAUAACAAAG